GGGGAGGGCCAUAGCUCUGUGGUAGAGCAUUUGCUUUGCAUGCAGAAAAUCCCGGGUUCCGUCCCUGGCCUCUCCG